CUGUCCAGCUUCUGUGUUUACCCCACAGAGGCUAAGUAUUAGCCAACCAAUUUGUNNNNNNNNNNNNNNNNNNNNNNNNNNNNNNNNNNNNNNNNNNNNNNNNNNNNNNNNNAGAACAGAGGCCUCAGAAAUAACACCACACAUUUACAACCAUCUGAUCUUUGACAAACCUGACAAAAACAAGCAAUGGGGAAAGGAUUCCCUAUUUAAUAAAUGAUGUUGGGAAAACUGGCUAGCUAUAUGCAGAAAACUCAAACUGGACAUCUUUCUUACACCUUAUACAAAAAUUAACUCAAAAUGGAUUAAAGACUUAAAUGUAAGACCUAAAACCAUAAAAAACCCUAGAAGAAAACCUCGGUAAUACCAUUCAGGACAUAGGCAUGGGCAAAGACUUCAUGACUAAAACACCAAAAGCAAUGGCAACAAAAGCCAAAAUAGACAAAUGGGAUCUAAUUAAACUAAAGAGCUUCUGCACAGCGAAAGAAACUAUCAUCAGAGUGAACAGGCAACCUACAGAAUGGGAGAAAAUUUUUGCAGUCUAUCCAUCUGACAAGGGGCUGAUAUCUAGAGUCUACCAAGAACUUAAAUUUGCAAGAAAAAAACCACCCCCUCAAAAAGUGGGUGAAGGAUAUGAACAGACACUUCUCAAAAGAAGAGAUUAUGAAAUAAAGCUCAUCAUCACUGGUCAUUAGAGAAAUGCAAAUCAAAACCACAAUGAGAUACCAUCUCACGCCAGUUAGAGUGGCGAUCAUUAAAAAGUCAGGAAACAACAGAUGCUGGAGAGGAUGUGGAGAAAUAGGAAUUCUUUUACAGUGUUGGUGGGAGUGUAAAUGAGUUCAACCAUUGUGGAAGACAGUGUGAUGAUUCCUCAAGGAUCUAGAACCAGAAAUACCAUUUGACCCAGCAAUCUCAUUACUGGGUAUAUACCCAAAGGAUUAUGAAUCACUCUACUAUAAAGACACAUGCACACGCAUGUUUAUUGCAGCACUAUUCACAAUAGCAAAGACUUGGAACCAACCCAAAGGCCCAUCAAUGAUAGACUGGAUAAAAGAAAACAUAUAUACCAUGGAAUACUAUGCAACCAUAAAAAAGGAUGAGUUCAUGUCCUUUGCAGGGACAUGGAUGAAGCUGGAAACAAUCAUUCUCAGCAAACUAACACAGAAACAGAAAACCAGACACCGCAUGUUCUCACUUACAAGUGGGAGUUGAAAAAUGAGAACACAUGGACACAGGGAGGGGAACAUCACACAGUGGGGCCUGUUGAGGAGUGGGGGGCUAGGGGAGGGAUAGCAUUAGGAGAAACACCUAAUGCAGAUGACGGGUUGAUGGGUGCAGCAAACCACCCUGGCACAUGUAUACCUAUGUAACAAACCUGCACGUUCUGUGCAUGUAUCCCAGAACUUAAAGUAUAAUAAAAAUAAAUAAAUAAAAAUAAAGGUAUAACUACGAUUAUAUAUAGUCUUGCUUUUAUUCCUUGGAUUUUGGUCAUAUCUUCCCAGACUGGGUUAUGUCUCCCCAGAAAGGCUGGAUUCAUGUUGUAUACAGCUGUCUCCUCUUUAGAGAUAAGUACUGUGCUCAGUAAAUAAAAACUUGGUAGUAUUGAUGUAUUAUUUGUAGCACUGGCUAAAGAAAGCUUAAAUUUUACCAGACUUUCCAAGAUGCUUAAUGCAGCUCUGAGUAAAUAUCAGCAUGGGGAUCCCCUUAGUCUGCGUCAUGGCUGUCCAUUGUACAUACAGUUUCACUCAGCAAACAUUGACUACAUGCUUACCAUGUGCCAGGCAUU
rnacentral:lncRNA from 1 species